rnacentral:rRNA from 1 species
UACGUAGGUGGCAAGCGUUGUCCGGAUUUAUUGGGUUUAAAGGGUGCGUAGGCGGCUUUAUAAGUCAGUGCUGAAAUAUCCCGGCUUAACCGGGAGGGUGGCAUUGAUACUGCAGAGCUUGAGUGAAGUCGAGGUAGGCGGAAUUGACGGUGUAGCGGUGAAAUGCUUAGAUAUCGUCAAGAACACCGAUAGUGAAGACAGCUUACUAGACUUCAACUGACGCUGAGGCACGAAAGUAUGGGGAUCAAACAGG